rnacentral:lncRNA from 1 species
GUAUUUCUCUCUUUUCUGUUGACUUCUGCAGUGUUGAAGCAUCACACAGACAUGAGCAGUUCGAGCUACUUGGCAGCCACCCACCAUCCUCCACACAGUCCCUUGGUGCGACAGCUCUCCACCUCCUCAGAUUCCCCUGCACCCGCCAGCUCUAGCUCACAGGUUACAGCCAGCACAUCGCAGCAGCCAGUAAGGAGGAGAAGGGGAGAGAGCUCAUUUGAUAUUAACAACAUUGUCAUCCCAAUGUCUGUUGCUGCAACAACUCGCGUAGAGAAACUGCAAUACAAGGAAAUCCUUACGCCCAGCUGGCGGGAGGUUGAUCUUCAGUCUCUGAAGGGGAGUCCUGAUGAGGAGAAUGAAGAGAUUGAGGACCUAUCCGACGCAGCCUUCGCCGCCCUGCAUGCCAAAUGUGAGGAGAUGGAGAGGGCACGGUGGCUGUGGACCACGAGUGUGCCAC